ensembl:lncRNA
CUCUCCCUUUGAUCUCUGCGGAGGUGGAGAGGAUGCACGGGGCCCGCUUUUUCACCAAUUUAGACCUCAGGAGCCCCUAUAACCUGGUACGUAUCCGGGAAGGGGAUGAGUGGAAAACAGCCUUUAGUACCACGUCCGGCCACUAUGAGUAUUUAGUAAUGCCGUACAGGUUGAUGAAUGCUCCAUUAGUCUUUCAAUCCUUCAUCAACGAUGUAUACUGGGACAUGUUGUGCGAGGGCGUGGUGGUGUAUAUCGAUGACAUCUUGAUAUACACUGCCACCCGUGCGGAGCAUGACCUGUACAUGAAAGCUGAGAAGUGUCUGUUUUUCCAGUCGUCUGUGUCCUUCCUGGGGUAUCGCUUUUCCAGCACAGGUGUGGCUAUGGAGGAGCCUCACAUUGACGCUGUGCAUAAUUGGCUGACCCCAACCACGGUGAAGGACGUGCAAUGAUUCUUAGGCUUCUCGAAUUACUACAGGAGGUUUAUCCGGGGCUUUAGCCAGGUCGCCGCUCCAUUCACCUCCCUUCUGAAAGGGGGGGCGACCCGGUUGCGGUGGACCGUGGAGGCGGAGCGGGCGUUUGUGGAACUGAAACUGGUCCUGGCCCAUCCCGACCUGUAGCUCCAGUUCAUCGUGGAUGUGGAAGUGUCCGACUGUGGGCUCGGUGCCAUCCUCUCCCAACGGACGGGGAGUCGUAACACGCUAAGUCCCUGUGCCUUCUUCUCCCAGAAGCUCAGUGCGGCGAAGCGGAAUUAUGACAUAGGUGAUCGUGAGCUGCUGGCCGUGGUUCGAGCCCUGUCGGCAUGGCGGCACUGGUUAGAGGGGGCUAAACACCCUUUCCUCGUCUGGACGGACCAUUGAAACCUGGAGUACAUGCGGGCAGCGAGGAGGCUGACCCCACGCCAGGCAAGGUGGGCUAUGUUCUUCACCCGGUUUGUUUUUACUCUUACUUACAGGCCGGGGAGUAAGAACGUCGGGGCCGACGCGCUGUCCCGCCAGCAUGACACGGAGGAGAGGCCAUUGGAUGAUGCUCCCGUGCUCCCGGAGUCGUGCAUCGUGGCACCGGUGGUAUGGGAACUGGAAGCGGACAUCGCUAGAUCACAGCGUGACGAGCCCUCUCCGCCCACAUGCCCUGAGGGUCGUACGUAUGUGCCGGCGGCUGUCCGUGACCGCCUCAUCUACUGGGCGCAUACAUCUUCCUCCUCCAGUCAUCCUGGUAUCGGGCCAACGGUGCGCGCCCUGGCCGCCCGGUGGUGGCUGGUCCCCUUCAGGGGUGUGAGGUGCGGGAGGUCCCCCCCCCCCCUCUGGACAUCGAGGGGGCCCCGGCGUACUCCGUCCGCUCCAUCAUCGACUCAAGGCGCAGGGCGGGGGGCCUCCAGUACCUCGUGGAGUGGGAGGGGUACGGCCCGGAGGAGCGGAGCUGGGUUCCGGUAAAGGACGUCCUGGCUCCUGUCCACAUCCGCGAAUUUCAUCGGCGUCGUCCGGAUCGCCCUGCUCCGCGUCCCCCGGGUCGGACCCGGGGCCAGUGUCGUCGCGCGGCUAGGGCCGUGUGUCAGAGGGGGGGUACUGUGACAACUGCGCCCUCUGCUGCUUCACCUCCCCCUGCAGCAGACAGGCUCCAGCGUUCGACGUCACCGGCCUUCUGACACCACCAUCCAGCUCAUCAUGCAUUUCACCUGUGUCUUGUUUAGCGCACCUGGUUCUCAUCCUCAUCAUUCCCCCCAGUAUAUAUGUUCCCUCUGCUCCCCCUGUCUUUGAGUGUUAUUGUCUCUAUGUCCCAAAGAGCU